rnacentral:rRNA from 1 species
UCUACGGGAGGCUGCAGUGGGGGAUAUUGGACAAUGGGGGGAACCCUGAUCCAGCGACGCCGCGUGAGUGAAGAAGUAUUUCGGUAUGUAAAGCUCUGUCAGCAGGGAAGAAAGAAAUGACGGUACCUGACCAAGAAGCCGCGGCUAACUACGUGCCAGCAGCCGCGGUAAUACGAAGGGGGCAAGCGUUAUCCGGAAUUACUGGGUGUAAAGGGAGCGUAGACGGUUAAGUAAGUCUGGAGUGAAAGGCCGGGGCUCAACCCCGGGACUGCUCUGGAAACUAUUUAACUUGAGUGCAGGAGAGGUAAGCGGAAUUCCUAGUGUAGCGGUGAAAUGCGUAGAUAUUAGGAGGAACACCAGUGGCGAAGGCGGCUUACUGGACUGUAACUGACGUUGAGGCUCGAAAGCGUGGGGAGCAAACAGGAUUAGAUACCCUUGUAGUC